rnacentral:rRNA from 1 species
GAAUCUGGCUUCAGGUUCGGGACAACAGUUGGAAACGGCUGCUAAUACCGGAUGUGCCUUAGGGUGAAAGAUUUAUCACCUGAAGAUGAGCUCGCGUCUGAUUAGCUAGUAGGUGUGGUAAGAGCGCACCUAGGCGACGAUCAGUAGCUGGUCUGAGAGGAUGAUCAGCCACACUGGGACUGAGACACGGCCCAGACUCCUACGGGAGGCAGCAGUGGGGAAUUUUCCGCAAUGGGCGAAAGCCUGACGGAGCAAUACCGCGUGAGGGAGGAAGGCUCUUGGGUUGUAAACCUCUUUUCUCAGGGAAGAAUGAUGACGGUACCUGAGGAAUAAGCAUCGGCUAACUCCGUGCCAGCAGCCGCGGUAAUACGGAGGAUGCAAGCGUUAUCCGGAAUGAUUGGGCGUAAAGCGUCCGCAGGUGGCAAUGUAAGUCUGCUGUCAAAGCGUCUGGCUCAACCAGAUAAAGGCGGUGGAAACUACAUAGCUAGAGUAAGGUAGGGGUAGAGGGAAUUCCUGGUGUAGCGGUGAAAUGCGUAGAGAUCAGGAAGAACACCGGUGGCGAAAGCGCUCUGCUGGACCUUAACUGACACUGAGGGACGAAAGCUAGGGGAGCG